UCCGUNCCAACAGCCGCGGUAAUACGGAGGAUGCGAGCGUUNUCCGGAUUUAUUGGGUUUAAAGGGUGCGUAGGCGGCCUGUUAANUCAGCGGUGAAAUCUAGGAGCUUAACUCNUAAAUUGCCAUUGAUACUGGCGGGCUUGAGUGUAGAUGAGGUAGGCGGAAUGCGUGGUGUAGCGGUGGAAUGCAUAGAUAUCACGCAGAACUCCAAUUGCGAAGGCAGCUUACUAAGGUACAACUGACGCUGAAGCACGAAAGCGUGGGUAUCAAACAGGAUUAGAUACCCUGGUAGUCCACGCAGUAAACGAUGAUAACUGGGCGUAUGCGAUAUACAGUAUGCUCCCAAGCGAAAGCGUUAAGUUAUCCACCUGGGGAGUACGCCGGCAACGGUGAAACUCAAAGGAAUUGACGGGGGCCCGCACAAGCGGAGGAACAUGUGGUUUAAUUCGAUGAUACGCGAGGAACCUUACCCGGGAUUGAAAUGUAGACGACGAGCGGUGAAAGUCGCUUUCCCUUCGGGGCGUCUAUGUAGGUGCUGCAUGGUUGUCGUCAGCUCGUGCCGUGAGGUGUCGGCUUAAGUGCCAUAACGAGCGCAACCCCUGUCUACGGUUGCCAUCAGGUAAUGCUGGGAACUCCGUAGAGACUGCCGUCGUAAGGCGUGAGGAAGGUGGGGAUGACGUCAAAUCAGCACGGCCCUUACAUCCGGGGCGACACACGUGUUACAAUGGUGGGGACAAAGGGCAGCUACCUGGCGACAGGAUGCGAAUCUCCAAACCCCAUCACAGUUCGGAUCGGAGUCUGCAACUCGACUCCGUGAAGCUGGAUUCGCUAGUAAUCGCGCAUCAGCCAUGGCGCGGUGAAUACGUUCCCGGGCCUUGUACACACCGCCCGUCAAGCCAUGGGAGUCUGGAGUACCUAAAGUCCGUACCCGCGAGGGAC
rnacentral:rRNA from 1 species